AUUUGUUGUAGGCUAAAGUUUUAGGUUACAAAAUCGGUCUUUUAAUAAAGUAUAAAGUAUAAAUUAAAUAAUUUAUUAUACAUUACGGUGUUAGAGUAUCGAUCAGUUCAACAUAAUGCAAACAUUCCAAACUCCCCCGAGUUUUUCCGAGAGUCUCCCAAAAAUUCUUGCGAUCUCAUCAGUCUGGUCUGACUCCCGAUUUUUAUCAAUUUCUCAGCUCCCGAAUUUUCAGAAUAUUCAGGAAAUAUCAUAAAAAAUCAUAAACAUACUGCACGUUUUUAGCAACAUAAUAUAGUCUGUCUUGACCUUUUCAUGAAGUUACUUCAUGACAAGUAUAUAGGAUAACUUAUAACAACAUAUUCCCAAAAUCA